UGGGAAGAUGAGCUGGGUGG
rnacentral:misc_RNA from 1 species